GGAUAGCUCAGUUGGUAGAGCAUGAGAACGUCAAUCUAAGGUCGUGGGUUCGAGCCCCACGUUGGGCA
rnacentral:tRNA from 1 species